UACAGAGGGUGCGAGCGUUAAUCGGAAUUACUGGGCGUAAAGCGUGCGUAGACGGUUAUUUAAGUCGGGUGUGAAAGCCCCGGGCUCAACCUGGGAAUUGCAUUCGAAACUGAAUAGCUAGGGUACGGUAGAGGGAAGCGGAAUUUCCGGUGUAGCGGUGAAAUGCGUAGAUAUCGGAAGGAACAUCAGUGGCGAAAGCGGCUUCCUGGACCAGUACCGACGUCAGGCACGAAAGCCGUGGGGAGCAAACAGGA
rnacentral:rRNA from 1 species